rnacentral:lncRNA from 10 species
CAGGAUUCCUGGGAGCACAGUUUGCUAACUCCAGCCCUGGGAACUCUACAGACUCGGAGGUCAGUGCCUGGAGGAGAGAUUCAGCCAUGUCUUCCUAGGAUCCAGCAUCCAAACCUGGACCAAAGUCCUCGGAUCCUCAGCAAUGGGGGUGCAUCUGGUGAUGGUGUUCAUGCUAAAUUUGUGCCAAGAGACACCUGUACUUGUGGGAGAAUUAAUAUUUCACUUCUGUUUAGGUUUCUUUUCUGGGAGCUGCUAUCACUGAAUACAUAAAGAAAUUGAGCCUAUAUGAUUUCAAUCUUCACCUUCUGAUGCUGAUGAAACAGGAUUCUAUGCAGUUUUCCACAGGGAGAAGCAGCAGGCUGAAGUGGCUCUUUAGGGAGACACAUACCUCCACAGGAAGAGCAGUCUAGAUUGUUUUAGCACAUUCCACUUAAGGAUUGCAGUGUGACAGCAGAGAAAAUCCUCUCCAGUCAAGUAAUUGCAUCCAUUUCAUCUUCCCAGCCCUCCUCUAGAUGGGAGGUGGAGGUGUGUGUACCAAUCUCUUAAUUCAGAAAUGAGACAAGAGGAGGAAAAAGGAGUUCCGGAGGAACUCCUUUUCAUACAUCAAAACUGAGCUUAUCACCUCUACCCUGAAGUCAUCCUGGACAUCACUGGUCCCAGUUAAUCACUCACUUAUCUUUGCCAUCCUUGACCUGGGAAGAGAACGUUGCCCUCAUUGGUCUGGAAUCAGCAGGUACCUCAUGGCUGGAGGUGUAUUUUCAGGUGGGUUGGGACUUUGAAGAGGUGGCUUUUCCUAUGGACCCCUCUGACUCCCCACCUGUGGGCAUGACACAGGUGACCUGGCUGCCAGGGCAGAGGCUGCUUAGCCCUGCUCCAGAGAAACAGAGCUCUGAGGGCUUCCAGAAACCAGGGCUCCUGGCUCCUCAGUCCUUCCCACUCCUCUCUUCCUACUCCCGUGCUGCAUAUAAACUUUUCUUUUUUUUUCAGAUGGAGUCUCACUCUGUCACUCAGGCUGGAGUGCAGUGGUGCGAUCUCAGCUUACUGCAACCUCCGCCUCCCGGGUUCAAGUGAUUCUCCUGCCUCAGCUUCCCCAGUAGCAGGGACUACAGGACCACAGGUGUAUGCCAUUAUGCUCGGCUAAUUUUUGUAUUUUUAGUAGAGACAGGGUCUCACCAUGUUGGCCAGGCUGGUCUCGAGCUCCUGACCUCAGGUGAUCACACGCCUUGGCCUCCCAAAAUGCUGGGAUUACAGGCAUGAGCCACUGCACUUGGCCUGCAUAUAAACUUUUUGAGUUUCCUGCUUUUGACAUGAGCAUGGAUAUUUAUCACUUCUAGAGGCAUUAGGAGAACUCAAGUCCAAGUGCUCAGAGACCUACAGUGCAGCUUAAGACCCUGUCACAGGAAUCUUCGGGGUGGGGGCAUGCACGGGAGUUAUAGAGAGUUGGGGAAGGAUGAGUUCUCAACCAAUGCUUUCCUUUUUUCCACAGACUCCUUUGGCAUCUGGUGAGGCCUGUGGAUUCAUUCUCAGAAUCACAUUUUUAAAUGCACAUAAUAAAAUACAUAGAAUUGCAAAGGAAGUUAAUUAUAUUGAAAUACAGUUAUCAAAAAUAUAAAUAAAACAAGUAUGUGGUACAGUCAUAUGUGUGCUUCUUUAUUAAGUCAUUACAAAGCAAGAUCUAUUUGGAGGUCUAAUAACUGUCAUAUGCUUGAAAAAAUCCUUAACAAUCAUAAUAUAUUAAAAAAUCUGAUUUCUACUUUGGCAAAUCAUAGAUAUUGCUGAAACUGUGGUUUAUUGCCUGCAUUCAUAAUUGAAGGAAAUGCUAGAGUUCAGUGAGAAGGUUGUGAAAAUAAAGAGAGCCUUUUUUUCUCAUCAAG